CGAAGAAAAACUUUGCCAAUGUGCGAAAGCACGACAAGGUUAAUCCGAGUGGUUUCUGCUAAAGGAACCUUUUGACAGUCCUAGAAACACUGUUGAAUAAGGGGUGGGCAAGUUCUGGUGUCAGCCGCCGCGGUAAAACCAGCACCUCAAGUGGUCAGGAUGAUUAUUGGGCCUAAAGCAUCCGUAGCCGGCUCUGUUAGUUUUCGGUUAAAUCUGUUCGCUCAACGAACAGGCUGCCGGGAAUACUGCAGAGCUAGGGAGUGGGAGAGGUAGACGGUACUCGGUAGGAAGGGGUAAAAUCCUUUGAUCUAUUGAUGACCACCUGUGGCGAAGGCGGUCUACCAGAACACGUCCGAGGUGAGGGAUGAAAGCUGGGGGAGCAAACCGGUAUUAGAUACCCGGGUAGUCCCAGCUGUAAACUAUGCAAAACUCAGUGAUGCAUUGGCUUGUAGGCCAAUGCAGUGCUGCAGGGAA
rnacentral:rRNA from 2 species